rnacentral:rRNA from 1 species
UACGUAGGUGACAAGCGUUGUCCGGAAUUAUUGGGCGUAAAGCGCGCGUAGGCGGCCCUGUAAGUCAAAGGUGAAAUCCCUCGGCUCAACUGAGGAACUGCCUUUGAAACUGCAGGGCUUGAGGCCGGGAGGGGGUAGCGGAAUUCCCAAUGUAGCGGUGAAAUGCGUAGAUAUUGGGAGGAACACCAGUGGCGAAGGCGGCUACCUGGACCGGUUCUGACGCUGAGGCGCGAAAGCGUGGGUAGCAAACAGG